UACAUUUCUUCCUUGGCUGCUGAUGGCUUGUGUUCGCCGUGGAUUUACGCAUCUCGCCCUCAGAUAUCCGACGAGCCGGCCCGACGUUCUUGCGCAGGCGCGAGAAAGAAAAUGUGGGGGCGUUGGCUCAUUGAAUAUUUGACUCUGCCUAGGCACCAUGGAGGAGGUUUCUUAGCGUGUGUUGUAUGCGUUUGUCCCUAGGCGUGCCGGCAUUGCGGAGUGGUUUACGCUCGGACGCUAGCUGCCGGCGUGGUAAAAUAGGUGAGGCAGCGGGCACUACCGCCCUGCUGUGUCGGACAGACUGUCUCGCACCUGCGGCGCUCGUACUAAGUCAGUCGUCGGAUCAUAGCUUUCUUGCGCCUUACGGCGGUAUAAGUGAUGCAGGCCAUGAAAUAACCUUCCAAUGGCUUCCAAGUUACUGCGGGAUUAUGGGCAAUGAACGGGCCGAUCAAGCUGCCCGCUCAGCCCAUAUUGAAGAGCACCACGUACCAAUUCCACUUUCUAGAACUGACGCAGCACAGAAGCUCCGCCUGCUUGCUCGGCAGUGCACCACGUCGCAAUGGAAUGAGCCACGUUUAAGAAAUACUCGAGUGUACUGCCUUGAUCCGACAUUAAGUAUCCGAGUGCCAUUACAGCUUCGCCGUGGAGACGCCACGCUCUUGUAUCGACUCUGGUUGGGCGUCGCCGUUACCAAAGCCUAUGCAUUCCGCAUAGGUAUGACCGACACCGCAAACUGUGACCACUGCGGCCAUGAAGAAUCAAUUGAACAUAUUUUGUGCGCUUGCCCGCAGUACAGUCCACAGAGGGAAUGCCUUCGCCACGAACUUGACCAACUGGACGACCAACCGCUAUCGGAAAAAAGAAUUCUACACCACCAAAGACCGAACCGCCGAACUGCGCCGCAGAUUUCUAUCACCGGGUGACUGCUUCGGAGGAGGGCCGCGUGGCGCCACCUGCGUCGCUGGAAUGACCGAAUAAGGCCGGGCCUCUAUACUACGGCCCUGUUGUGAUCGGCCGUUCGCCCCGCGACAACCUCAGGUCACGGCUCGCGCGAUUAUGGAGAACGGGCCGAUGGCCUCGUCAAAAUGGUUCUCAAAACGGAUGAUUUAUGACCAGCGUGAGAGUACCUCGUUCAGGAGAGGUUUGAGCAAUUAGCAUGAUACGGCCAUCACCUGUCAGUGUACGAUCGGAGUCAGCGUAGGUUCCCCUCCUUUCCCUGUUUGUGCCUAGUGAUGCGCGUGCGUGCGACCAAGUUCCCUUUUUAGGGAAAGGGCAACCGACUUCCGGAUUGGUGGGACCUGAUAUCAUCGGGCCCCUGACGCCAGAUUGGGGGAAGUGACUGAACAACGAUCACGGAAGGCAUAAAGGAGCAACGGACGGCGAGAGUGAUCGGCGACUACAACUUCAUCAUCAACAUUUCUGUAUUACUUUGCAUUUUCUUGUACAUAUGUAAAUAUAAACGUGUUUGUCAAACUUCCUGAA